GGAUUGUGGCUCAGAGGUAGAGCGCUCGCCUAGCACGCGCGGGACCCGGGUUCGAUCCUCAGCACCA
rnacentral:tRNA from 1 species